rnacentral:rRNA from 1 species
UACGUAGGGUGCGAGCGUUAAUCGGAAUUACUGGGCGUAAAGCGUGCGUAGGCGGUUCGUUAAGUCAGCUGUGAAAGCCCCGGGCUCAACCUGGGAAUUGCGAUGGAGACUGCAAGGCUAGAAUCUGGCAGAGGGGGGUAGAAUUCCACGUGUAGCAGUGAAAUGCGUAGAGAUGUGGAGGAACACCGAUGGCGAAGGCAGCCCCCUGGGUCAAGAUUGACGCUCAUGCACGAAAGGCGUGGGGAGCAAACAGG